rnacentral:lncRNA from 1 species
AACACCAGAAAAAAUGCUUUCCUUUACAGUGUUACUUAAGGUGAUUGGAAUUGAAAUGACUCAUUCGUCUGCUGUUUUCUUUGAUUCACAGAAUUUUUUGCUAUAAAUAUAAGAAGAAGCAUAUUAUUUCUUUAAGCAUUUUAAUAAAUGUACAUAUAAACAAGAAUUUUUUUUGCAGAUAUUUGAACACCCUUUUAAACAGUUCUGGGUCCGCCACUGAUUCUUGACCAAAGAGUCAGUUAUUUUAUUUUUGUAUUGUUUUGCAAUAAAAAGUAAAAUAACAAAAAUACUGAACUCCGACG